GACGAACGCUGGCGGCGUGCUUAACACAUGCAAGUGGAGCGACGAACCGGGGCUUGCCCCGGGGCAGAGCCGCGAACGGGUGAGUAACACGUGGGUAACCCACCCCGAUGACCGGGACAACCCGAGGAAACUCGGGCUAAUACCGGAUGUGCUCCUUGACCUCGAGGUCAAGGCGUAAAGAUAGCUUCGGCCUUCGCAUCGGGACGGGCCCGCGGCCCAUUAGCUUGUUGGUGGGGUAAAGGCCUACCAAGGCGACGAUGGGUAGCUGGUCUGAGAGGACGAUCAGCCAC
rnacentral:rRNA from 1 species